AAUGUUCAGACUAAGCCAUGCACGUCUAAGUACAAACUAAAUGAUGGUGAAACUGCAAAUGGCUCAUUACAACGGUUAUGAUGUACCCGGGAGUUCCGAUGGAUAUUUCCAGUAACACUAGGACUAAUACAUGUCCCUGCGUUUAUUAGUUUCGCACAGUCCGUCGCUGAGUCAUGGUAAACAGUUGAUCGACUCGACGUCCCGGAACAGUUUCCGCCCCAUCAGCUUCGAUGGUUGGGUAUUGGCCUACCAUUGCAACAACGGGUAACGAGGAAUUAGGGUUUGAUUUCGGAGAGGGAGCCUGAGAAACGGCUACCACAUCUACGGAUGGCAGCAGGCGCGCAAAUUACCCAAUGCAGACACUGUGAGGUAGUGACGAGAAAUAAUAAAGCGGGACUUCUGUUUCGCUAUUAUAAUGAGGAAUAACCAAAGGUCAUUCCGAUUAGCAACUGAUGGGAAAGUCUGGUGCCAGCAGCCGCGGUAAUACCAGCGUCAGUAGC
rnacentral:rRNA from 1 species